rnacentral:rRNA from 9 species
UCAAGAUAAGAUUUCCCACCGCAAGGGUAAGACCCCAGAAAGACUAUCUGGUUGAUAGGUCGAAGGUGUAAGUGCAGCAAUGUAUUUAGCUUAUCGAUACUAAUAGGUCGAGGACUUGACCAAUAUU